AAGGUCAUCAGCAGGAGGUGGGCAUUGUCUUUUGACGCCAGCAAUUUGACAACAAUGUUAGCUUACUCUAUUAGCAAGCAGCUACACCCUGACCCCUGACCCUGACAUUGACCGGAGACAGACCUCUGAUCAUUUAAGGUGGUCCAGUGACGUCUGAGAGCCCUGUGCCAGCGGGUUUGUACCAGAGACGGGCCAUCAGGACUGCUUGUUCUGCUGAGUGACAGAGCUGGAUCAAGGGUAUUCCCUGCUCCCACCAGGAGGCUUAAGGCAUGAAGCUCACAAGCAAAUCAGAGUUGAACCCAAGUCCUGAAAAGGGGGUAGUAGAGGGGCCCAUCCAUCAACGACACGUCAGGCAAGGAUUUGAAGGCCUAAUUUACAUUAUCCAGUAGUCUACUCCAGCACAAUUGGAUGGGAUCCAGUUUGAUUGGAAACAGAAAGGAUGGUACAGUUUAGCCAACGACAGAGAGAGGCCUGAGAGGUGUCCUGAGUCCUGCUGUCUUCUGACAAGAUGCAAGUGGACAAGAUUGAGAAGUGAUUCCAAGAUUUCUAUUCAUAGAACUCCUCAGAAUUAAGAUAAUUGAAAAUACCAAAGGAACUGAGUUUAAAUUAGAAAAAAAAAGUCCAAAGACAUUCACCAAAGUAACAAACUGUGGCUCUGGACCCAUUGGACUCAUUUCCCAGCUCCUUUGACUUCUGCAACUUUGAUAUAUCUGUUGGCCUAUGCGCCCUUCUGGUCUUCAAACGUGCGUUGUUCUUCUUUGGAAUCAAAACAUAGAAGGGAAGUACAAGGCAUUUAAGUGAGACUGAAAGUCAGCAUCAGGUAGGGCCUAAGCAUCUCUUUUAUUCUUUAGUCUGUCUUUGUCGAGAGUUCCCUGAGAAUUUCAGCAGGACUCAAUGGUCAUCGAUUUGAACUGGGUUUAGUUGUUUUUGUUUGUUUGUUUGUUUUAGAGUUGGAUAAUCAAUCAUAGUGGGGACAAGUCCUGGCAUCAGUGAAAUGGGAGAGAAAUAUUUCAAGUAGAUGACUGACAGGAAGAAAAAUAAAGAGAACUCACUAAAGGGGAGACCA
rnacentral:lncRNA from 1 species